AAGGGAGACCUAAUUCGGGUAGAAGACGAAAAAAUAGUAGUCGAAACCAAGAAUCAAUCCCAAAAGGUCGGAACGAGGUAUGUGGCUUUCAAACUAGGUUCUGGGUUCACAAAAGACCUGAAUCAGGAACAAGGGCUAUUAGCUCAGGUGGUUAGAGCGCACCCCUGAUAAGGGUGAGGUCCCUGGUUCGAGUCCAGGAUGGCCCACCUGCACAGGUGGCAAAAACAAGAGAAACGAGGAAUCAGCACCUUAUCUUACUUACAUAGUAAGAGAGAACGCUGGCUCUGAGUAAAGAGUCCAGAGGAACCUUGAAAACUGCAUAGAGCUAGGUGAAAAAGCCAAAAAAGAAGACCGCAA
rnacentral:tRNA from 1 species